GUCCAUAAUGCAUUUCGCCCCACCUACAGGGCUUUGUCAAAUCGUUUGACAAAGCCCUGUAGGGGGGGCGAAAUGCAUGU